GGCACUUCCGCCAUUUAUGCUUUGUAAGAAUGAAAAAAAAUCAAUUAAAAAUUGACAAGGAAAAAGAAAAUAAUUCUUUUCUAUCAUCUGGCUUUUAAAUAUUCUUAGAUAAUUACACAUAUAUCCCAAUUUCUCUUAUACUUUUUAAAUAGUUUGACGAGGAACCAACUGAACCUGUGCACGGUAGCUGUAUGAGACAGAAAAUCCCACAACGGAAGGAAUAACGUUAAACCGAAAACUGGGUCCCAGCUGACAGCCAGACGAAUCUCUGGCCUGGCGAUCCCGGAUCUACACCCCACAACUGACAACUAAUGGUAGAAAAAGAUUUUUUAAAAAAGUUCUGUGGAAAACUGGCAGCUGUAGUCACCCUCACUGGAUCAUAUAUUUUCUUUUUUGCACAGAAACCGAGGACGGGCACACGGACCACACCGGACUGUAAAGGUUUAACAGAAUGAAUUGUAUCUAAUCUAUCUUCUAAGCAGCAAAGUGCCAAGUUUUAACAAUCGUGCUCAAAACCGAAAGGCCUUUCAACGUAAAUUUGAGGAACAAGUUUUUAGUUUUUAGUUUCUAAAAUAUGCUCAAAAUCUGAUGUACAUACUUCUCAAUAGAAUCUCGAGAAAUUAGAUUAUUAAAAUCAAAGAUAUCACUUAAAUAUCUCAAUGUUUAAACUAUAUUCUUGAUUUCCAAUGAUAAUUAAACUACUUUCUAGAAUUCCAAUGAUAUCUGAAAUUAUGAGAAUUGAACCCAACCCACACGCUCAGUCAUAAUCACGACGGCCUUGCUGUUAAAGGAAAACGAAAGAAUUCUUUUUUUCUUGUUUUCCCUUUCUAAACAGUCUUCUCUUUAUCUAGUUAAACCGAACCCGAGAAGAUGAAUGAGAGCGAGAAUAUCCUUGAAUCUGUCGAACCUCAGAGGAACUGGGGGACCCCAUAUCGGUACUUCUCGGCGAAAAAUAACGUCUGAUGAAACUGUAACGCCUCCUGAACCGACAGACCCAGGACGUCUCAAGAAGAUAGGACAACUACGCUACAACGUUAUCUCAAAUUUGUAGCUCAAUACAAUGAGCUAACAUAAUUGCUUCUUGGCUUAAAAGAUACUAACGAACCAUCAAUGUUCGUAAUUAGUAUAUUUUUUAAAUAUUUAGUCCCUUCGGACACCAUGCUAAUGAAGCCUCAAUAUUAUUAAGACGAACCAUCAAUGUUCGCAUUUAUUAUUUUUCUCAAUUAUCAUUUUCCUUCGAAUACUUCUUAAUUAUUGUGUUCCUUCUUUCGCUUGCUUAUGAAGCCCCAAUAUAAACGAAUUGACAUAUUUUCGCGUAAAAUGUAGCCUCAAUAUAAACGAAGAACGUGUAAUGUUCCUCGUUAUGAAGCUUACAUUAAAUUACUUUAAUGUAAAAAUGGAAAGUCGCUCCCGUGUAUGUUUAUGUGAAAGCAUGCACACUGUUAAUUGUAGCCUUUUCUAAUAAGAGAUAACACACAUUGUGUAUGUAGUAUCUCACAGUCAGAUUUCACAAAAGAACGCUACCCUUAAUAUAUAAUGUAGUUUUUUCUCUCGAA